rnacentral:rRNA from 1 species
UACGUAGGGUGCAAGCGUUGUCCGGAAUUAUUGGGCGUAAAGAGCUCGUAGGCGGUUUGUCACGUCUGCUGUGAAAACUCGGGGCUUAACUCCGGGCCUGCAGUGGGUACGGGCAGACUAGAGUGCGGUAGGGGAGACUGGAAUUCCUGGUGUAGCGGUGAAAUGCGCAGAUAUCAGGAGGAACACCGGUGGCGAAGGCGGGUCUCUGGGCCGUAACUGACGCUGAGGAGCGAAAGCGUGGGGGAGCGAACAGG